AGCGCUGGUUGGUGCGUUUGGUAACCCCCAAGCCGUUGGCCCUUAUGUGCACGAAGUGGAACGAUACCGAGCGCUGGUUCGUGCGUAUGCUAUCUACCGAGCUGUCAGCCGUUACAUGCAUGGAGUGGAACGGGACCAAGGGCUUCUGCGUCUUCCGGGAAUUAUGAGAAUAAUCAACGCCUUUGUCCGAGCGGAGCAACAAAACCAAAAA